rnacentral:tRNA from 1 species
GCCUAAAUAGCUCAGUUGGGAGAACAUUAGAGUAUAAAUCAAACUGUCCCUGGUUCGAUCCCGGGUUCAGAAU